rnacentral:rRNA from 1 species
UACGAGGGGGGCGAGCGUUGUUCGGAAUUAUUGGGCGUAAAGGGUGCGUAGGCGGUUUGGUAAGUCUGAUGUGAAAUCUAUGGGCUCAACUCAUAGUCUGCAUCGGAAACUGCCGGGCUUGAGUGUGGGAGAGGUGAGUGGAAUUCCUGGUGUAGCGGUGAAAUGCGUAGAUAUCAGGAGGAACACCUGUGGCGAAAGCGGCUCACUGGACCAUAACUGACGCUGAUGCACGAAAGCUAGGGUAGCAAACGGG